CUGCCAGCUUCUAAGUCAGACUGAGCUUCCAAGUCAGAUCAUUCCACUUGGGCUCAUAUCUAUGGAUUUCAAAGGAAGCACUUGGUGCUGGGAUGCCUGUGCAACGUGUGUUGCGCUAUCUGUCCUUGUGUCACCUUUCGUAACAUUUCAACAAACCAGUUCCCUUCUCUUUUUUUUUUUUUUCAGGAAUUUCCAAAUCCUUUGGCAUUCAAUUGCAAAGAACUGGAGCCAAACUGCAGCAGGACCCAGUGUCGCAAGGCUGUUGAGCCCCAGCUCCAGGGCAGUGCUUCACCUACCCGUUGCCAUUUUGUCCUGAAGCACAACCCAGAAGUAAGUGGUGUUGCCUCUGCCAUUCAAAGGAGCACAUUUUAGCCUUUCUCGGCUGAUUUUGGGCAACUGCUACUAGUAAUUCUGUCAGCUUUACACUGUGUGAAUGCACAGGUCCCUAAUGGGAGACUUUUCCCCCAAACCCACAGUGCCAACUGCAAAGCAGGGCCUGCUUCAGGAGGAAUUCUAAGGAGAUCCAUGGCAGCAUUAUUCAUCUGUGCUUUGGGCUAAUGCAAGUCUUUCUGCAUCAGAAUUGGAAAGGGUACAGUCCUGUCAUCUACAGUAGCCGCUGACAUGGCUUUUACAACUAAGGUUAUGAAAUUGUGCCAUUAAAUCCCUGAGAAUUGUAAAGUAUGGAGGUUUUCUAAGGGGAAAAGCUGCUCUUGAACCGGAUGUGCAGUGAUAAGACUGUUAAGAACCUACAAAUACAGGUCCUGAAACGUGUGUGUAAUACCUGGUUUGCCAUCGGUGUCCAGAUCAGCUCAGCUAAAGCCAGAUUUUUCCCCCAUCUCACAGCUGGAAAGUGAACCACACUAAAAACACGACAGCCUCUUUGGGUUCUAAAAGUUCCUGGGCAGAAAAGGCAGUAAAUCAGCAUUAACAAUGGGAAACAGAUUGGUAAAGCCCAGCAUGGACAGUAAGUUAGCCCUGUGAUCUGAGGUGCUGAUGAAAUCAUCUCCCUGGAAGAGGUAAGCAUCUAAGCUGAAGACUAACCAUGCUCCAUCAGGGUUAAGCACAACAGGCAGCUGGAAAUACCCUGGGUUUUGCAGUUUUCCCUACCCUCCUAUGCUCUCUCUGAGGGGACAGAGCAGAUGGGGAUUGCAGAGCUCUUUCCCCUGCUCAGUGUGACUAAAGGUGACUCUGGCCCUUGCAGUGAGGGCCGUCUCCCUCCCCCAGAUCAAUAUUUUAAUAGGACUUAUCAGAGAGAGAAGGAAAUGUUUACUUUCAAAGCUCAGGAUCCCAUAAAGGGAAGGGAAAAGUGGCCCCUGGGAGCAGAGCUUUCCACAGCUCCCCACUGCUGGUGACUCCCAAAAGGAACCCAGUUCCUCCAAGGACCCCCCAAAGCUGCAACAGCACCUCAGUCCUGCCAAGCCCUAAGGACACACCAGAGAAUCACUCGGCAGCUGGCUCAGGUCUCUGAAGCCCCCCGCUGAGGUCUGCCAUGUACCUAUAGCACUCCUUCCAUGGCCUAAGGAUCUCCUACCUCCAGAGCUGUGGAGUGUGACAAUGGUGUUUGUGUCCAGUCUAUCAAACGCCAUUAUCACACUAAAUAGCUACUGGUGGACAAGACAUCAGUUCAGAGCAGGGCGUGAGCAGCAGCAAUGGGCUCUCCACCACUACGAGGAAUAAAUGACCUUCCUACGUGCA